rnacentral:rRNA from 1 species
UACGUAGGGUCGCAGCGUUAUCGGAAUUACUGGGCGUAAAGCGUGCGCAGGCGGUUUUGUAAGUCUGUCGUGAAAUCCCCGGGCUCAACCUGGGAAUUGCGAUGGAGACUGCAAGGCUAGAAUCUGGCAGAGGGGGGUAGAAUUCCACGUGUAGCAGUGAAAUGCGUAGAGAUGUGGAGGAACACCGAUGGCGAAGGCAGCCCCUGGGUCAAGAUUGACGCUCAUGCACGAAAGCGUGGGGAGCAAACGAGGAUACGAAACCCGGUGUCAGAU